AGCGAGUGACCAUCUCCGAAACGGGGACUUCCCGGCAAGGGACACUCGGUAGAGGUGCUGCAUGGCUGUCGUCAGCUCGUGUCGUGAGAUGUUGGGUUAAGUCCCGCAACGAGCGCAACCCUUGUUUGCUGUUGCCAUCAGGUGAUGCUGGGCACUCUGCAAAGACUGCCGGUGAUAAACCGGAGGAAGGUGGGGAUGACGUCAAGUCAGCAUGGCCUUUAUGUCUGGGGCUACACACGUGCUACAAUGGCCGGUACAAACCGUCGCGAUACCGUAAGGUGGAGCUAAUCGGAGAAAGCCGGUCUCAGUUCGGAUAGCAGGCUGCAACUCGCCUGCUUGAAGUUGGAAUCGCUAGUAAUCGCGGAUCAGCACGCCGCGGUGAAUACGUUCCCGGGCCUUGUACACACCGCCCGUCACAUCACGAAAGCCGGUUGUACUAGAAGUCGCCAUACCAACCCGCAAGGGAGGGAGGCGCCUAAGGUAUGGUCGGUGAUUGGGGUGAAGUCGUAACAAGGUAAGCGUACUACA
rnacentral:rRNA from 1 species